rnacentral:rRNA from 1 species
UAGUCAUAUGCUUGUCUCAAAGAUUAAGCCAUGCAUGUCUAAGUACAAGCCUCACUAAGGUGAAACCGCGAAUGGCUCAUUAAAUCACACCUAAUCUACUGGAUAGUUAACAGUUACUUGGAUAACUGCGGUAAUUCUGGAGCUAAUACAUGCACAAAGCCCCGAACUUACGUGAGGGGCGCUUUUAUUAGAUCAAAACCAAACGGCUUCGGCUGUAUCCUUGGUGACUCUGAAUAACUUUGGGCUGAUCGCAUGGCCUAGCGCCGGCGACAUAUCCUUCGAAGGUGUGCCCUAUCAACUGUCGACUGUGGCAUAGACGCCCACAGUGGUUUUGACGGGUAACGGGGAAUCAGGGUUCGAUUCCGGAGAGGGAGCCUUAAAAACGGCUACCACAUCUAAGGAAGACAGCAGGCACGCAAAUUACCCAAUGACCGAAGGUCGAGGUAGUGACAAAAAAUAACGAUACGGGACUCAUCUGAGGCCCCGUAAUCGGAAUGAGUACACUUUAAAACCGUCCCCGAGGGUCUAUU